AUGUAUGCAAUGAGAAAGAAGAGUACAUAUUGCAGCGAUUUCAGAGAGCUUGUGGCCGGUGCGAACAAGUAAUUGUACAGUAUGGAAUGGGCUUUUGAGCACCAAACCGAAACAUCUUUGGAGUAGGCUUUGGCGUUUUAUCCAGCGUUACAAUGGAUAAAAGAGAUUUCACAAACGUGAAAUAAUUAGGGUGGUACCGCGGUCCAUUCGUCCCUAUA
rnacentral:ncRNA from 1 species